rfam:TPA: Bos taurus chromosome 24, whole genome shotgun sequence.
UUCUAUGACCAUACCACCCUGAAAGGGCUCCAUCUCGUCCAAUCUCAGAAGCUAAGCAGGGUUGGACCUGGUUAGUACUUGGAUGGGAGAAAUAAGUACCACUUGCU